GACGAACACUGGCGGCGUGCUUAACACAUGCAAGUCGAACGGAAAGGCCCUGCUUUUGUGGGGUGCUCGAGUGGCGAACGGGUGAGUAACACGUGAGUAACCUGCCCUUGACUUUGGGAUAACUUCAGGAAACUGGGGCUAAUACCGUAUAGGAGCUCCUGCUGCAUGGUGGGGGUUGGAAAGUUUCGGCGGUUGGGGAUGGACUCGCGGCUUAUCAGCUUGUUGGUGGGGUAGUGGCUUACCAAGGCUUUGACGGGUAGCCGGCCUGAGAGGGUGACCGGCCACAUUGGGACUGAGAUACGGCGCAGACUCCUACGUGAGGCAGCAGUGGGGAAUAUUGCACAAUGGGCGGAAGCCUGAUGCAGCAACGCCGCGUGCGGGAUGACGGCCUUCGGGUUGUAAACCGCUUUCGCCUGUGACGAAGCGUGAGUGACGGUAAUGGGUAAAGAAGCACCGGCUAACUACGUG
rnacentral:rRNA from 1 species